CCUACGGGGGGCUGCAGUGGGGAAUAUUGGGCAAUGGGCGCAAGCCUGACCCAGCAACGCCGCGUGAAGGAAGAAGGCUUUCGGGUUGUAAACUUCUUUGACAGGGGACGAAACAAAUGACGGUACCCUGAAAACAAGCCACGGCUAACUACGUGCCAGCAGCCGCGGUAAUACGUAGGUGGCAAGCGUUAUCCGGAUUUACUGGGUGUAAAGGGCGUGUAGGCGGGAUUACAAGUCAGAUGUGAAAACUAUGGGCUCAACCCAUAGCCUGCAUUUGAAACUGUAGUUCUUGAGUGAUGGAGAGGCAGACGGAAUUCCUCGUGUAGCGGUGAAAUGCGUAGAUAUGAGGAGGAACACCAGUGGCGAAGGCGGUCUGCUGGACAUUAACUGACGCUGAGGCGCGAAAGCGUGGGGAGCAAACAGGAUUAGAUACCCCAGUAGUC
rnacentral:rRNA from 1 species